rnacentral:tRNA from 1 species
UCUAAUAUGGCAGAAAUUAUGCAAUGAAUUUAAGCUUCAUAGAUAAAGAUUUAUUAACUUUUAUUAGAA